CCAGCCGCGAGCCGCUAGAUGCCUAGCCCCCCCUCUCUCGCCUUGCUCGACUAGAUCCGUCAUGGGUGCAUCAAGUCAAUCGUGGUGGGGAGAUAGAGAGGGGGCCGCCUCGAGUAGAGGAGAGGUCGCCGUUGAGGGAAGGAGAGGAUGCGGGAGGCAGGUCGCCGUAGGGGGAAGAAGAGGACGCGGGAGGAAGGUCGCUGGCCGAGGUAGAGAUCCGGCAGCUCUUCGUAGAGCGAUGCAGCCAAGGUGCUUGACCACGCGCUGGUGUGCGUUGCGGCGCCGAUGCACGUACGCACUUUUGCUCGUACCAAGGCGGCAGGGAGGGGAGGGAAUAGGGGUGUAGCGCUCGAUCUGGGAAGGAGAUGAGUAGAUGCGGCAUCGACGGAGCGACACGACGAUGGUAACCGAAGGAGAAGAAUGGAAGAAUUGAUAGUGUUUUCAACUUUUUAUUCAUCCUUUGACAGUGUACAUAUACAGGAGGCAGUCAUGCCUUUGUCCACUAACCACUAAAGCUAAACUCUAGCUAACAGCCCUGGAGACUAGGUAGGCAAUCGUGUGCAGACCGUUGAAGCUGCUCCUGAAGAUGCAUUCCAACAGUGACGAUCAGGGGAGACCUGCGUAAGAUAUGCAAUUUUGCCGCUACGCUGUUGCGCUUCUAUUCGUCCUACCAUUUGAUCCACGUUGAACAUAACCUCACACCUCUAUUUCCCCUGAGGCCAAUAUUCAGAAUCCUCCCUCCAUAUGAAAUCCUUUGAUACGAUAUUUUAUGUAGAUAUUGGAAUUUCCACUGCCAAACUUGUUAUCUGAAAAUAUCACUUAACCAUUGGACCCUCCUUCCAGAGUAGAUCGUGGUUGGCCUCCAUGCAAUAUAGCUUUUGUUAGCUUGUUUCAUUAAUGAUUUUUGCUUGCCAUUCGGAUUCACGGGAACCAUGAAAGCAUGAAGGGAACCUGAAGUCAAAAUUCCAGGCUUUUUUCACGUGUUUAGUUCAUGCAUUCUGGUGAUCCGUAAUCUGGGUGUGUUGCUGUGAAUAACUUACACUGAUCCAUGACAAUUGUGUAAUAUUUCCUCUGAAAGGGCCUUGAUGUAUUUCACAUCAGCGGAAAAGUUUACUGUCGUGUGAUCAGACUGUACAAUUUUCCAAACAAUAGUAUGCUUUGUUUUUCAUUUUUUAAUGCCUGAAACUCAGUUUCAGUAUCCUCUCAACUUGACAGUAGUUUCAUUAUAUUAGGGUGGAGUUAGCACUUGAUCACCAAUGACUUUUCCUCAUAGAAGGAAGUUUUAGUACUUAUUUACCAAAUCAGAGUUUGUAAUCCAUGCUGUGUGUUAAGUGCUUUUACAUUUUGAAAUAUUAAUGUGUUUUAGAAGGUUCGUCCUCCAUCGAUAUUAUGCAGCUCAUGGGCAGGAUACAAAAUCUUCACCUAAGAAAAACAAUUGCUUUCAUCGGCAUACCAGGAUAUAUUCUAUAGUGGAUUACACCUAUGAUGCACAUGCACUUCCGAGAACCCCCACCCCCACCGAUUUUCCUUCGCCUUCCACUGAUUUUCCUCCCCAUUCCACCGGGUUUUUUCUCUCUUACUAGUUUAUUCCUCUGCUUGUCAUGCCCGUGAAAUCCCAGUGUAUCUCAAAUGUAGUAUGGUAAUUACGGUAAUCAAUCAAUUCACAUAUGGUAAGGCCAUAAACUCACGAAAAUCUCAUAUAUGGCAAUUAUGGUAAUCAAUCAAUUCACGUAUGGCAAGGUUAUAAAUUUGCGGAAACCAAAUAAUCAAUUGUGGUGUUAUCUAGAUGUGCUUCAUACCUACCAGAAAUCGUGAGUUUCUGCUAGAAUUGUUUACGUUGAGCUUGAUGUUAUAUUACUGGAAUAUAUAUAGCCCCGUUGCAGCACGGGCAAAUAGCUAGUCUCUAAAAAGACUUAUAUUUAGGAACGGAGGAAAUAUAUGGAGAGUGAUAUAUAUAUAUCACCGAAUAAAUUCGAGACCGCAUUGGUUGGCUGGUCUAUCUACCCCUGAAACAAAGUCGGAUGCUCGACAACAAAGCCGUGGCAAAACGGCAAAAUGGAAUCUUAUUAUUUUUUCCGUUUACUAGGAGAGACACGUAGCCACAAUCCUAACUUCUUCUAACGGGUUUGCUAUUUAACAAUCAAGUGUUUUUCAAUUCGUCAACAUUCAAAUUUGUGUCCGUCCGUUCUUGCGCGGAGAUUUGCGCUGGUUUUCCUUUUUUUCUUCGUGUUGGUGCCCUGUUUACUCCGGUUUGUUUUCUUUUACCGGGUUCGGUUUUUCUUUGUCUCAACCCGUGACGGCGCCCGUCCUAUUGGUUUUUGUCCUGUUUGAAUUUUAGAGUGGGUGUCGUUCCCCUUUCCUUUGGUCAUUCUGUUUCGAUAAGGCUGAGGAGAAACCUCGAGCGGCGGUGGAGAGGAGGCGAGGAAUAGCUCGAGGGGUGGCGGAGAGGAGGCGAUUCAUGGUGAUUCCGAGCUAUUCCACCAUUGGAUUUUGAUCUCUCCCCCCUUUCUCUUCGCUCCUCAGCUGCCAUUGUUGGUUCCCCUUGUCUCUCGCGUUUCCCGUCCCGUAGUUCCAGAUCUAGGUGAGUUUCGUGGUCGUGGUUUGUGGAUCGUAUGUUUGCUGUUGUUCGUGGAUCUGUGAUAGGUGCUGCCAUGUUGUUCUAGUCCGUCCAAUUUCCCCACUCCAUUCUGCUCGCCUGAGUUGUGUAGGAGCUUGUAGUUGUGGGUUCUAGGUCUGUAGUUGUGUAGGAGGUUGUAGUUGCGGAUUCUAGGAGCUUUGUGGUUGUUUUUCUCCCCUGAUUGUAGGUGUGUUAGGCUUUAGUUUUUGUUUUAUUUUGUGUUGUGGUGGAGGUACACGUACUGGUAGUUGCAGUGGUGUCUGUCCCCUUGCUGUUAGACGAUAGUUGUAGGUGGCUGGUCAUGACUCCCCCCCCCCCCCGCCGGCAGCUGAGGUGUGACUGAAUGUGUGUUUCAAGAAUUCCCUCCCCGCCCCCCCCCCCCCCGACUGGUGUUUUCCACUGAAAUUUCUAGUCGAAUUUCAGUUUCCUUUAUAUUUUUAGUGUAUUUUGUAGUCUAUUAUCAAUGUACUUACCUUGUAACUAUGUAAUUAUUCGGUAAUAUCAGUGUAUUUAUAGUCUAAUAUCAGUGCAUUUACAUAUCAGUGUACUAACUAUGUAAUUACACUGUAGUAUCAGUGUACUUACACUGUAAAUCACAGUGUAAUUUCAGGUUAAUUUUACACUGCAAUCCUAGUGAUUUCAGCAUGUGGUUAGUUAGUCAUGUAAGUGGAUCUCUCUGUAUUGUAGCUCAAAUUACUGUGGAUCUUACCCAUUUCAGUGUAACUACUGUAAUAUGUUUCCAGAACCUUAUGGUCCCUGCUUUCACAGUGUGAUACUCCCAUUUUACAAUGUAAUUCUCCCAUAUUUUUUGUAAUUACUGUGUAAUAUGUUACUAGUAGUAUGAUUGUGUAAUUUACAGUGUUAUACUCCCAUAUUUACAGUGUAAUUCUCAUAAUUCUCCCAUGUUCGUAAUUACUGUGUAAUCUGUCCUAGUAGUAUUGUGUAAUUUACAGUGUAGUACUUCCAAAUACUGCCAGAAUUACAAUGUAACUUUCCUCCUAGAAUUACUGUGUAAUUUAUCAUCCAAUUACAGUGUAAUUUGUCGUAUCAGUGUUGUGUAAUUUUCUCUCUGAUUCCAGUGUAAAUCCUGAUUACAAUGUGCUAAGAUAUGCAAGUUUUUUCAGUGUAUUCAUGCCAUAGAAUCACUGUGUAAUUUGUCCUAGCAGUUACACAGUAAUUUAGCCCAACUACUCAUGUAUUUUACACUGUAUAUGCCCAGAUUUAUAGUGCAUAUGCACUAGAAUCACUGUCUAGUAUGCCCAGAUUUACAGUGUAAUUAUGCCCAGAUUUACCUAUUUUUUAGUGUAAUGUUCAUGCUUUAGCUCUGUAAUUUUCCGUUUUUUUAGCUUCAGAAAGUCGCUCACCAGGACGUUCCGUUAGUGUCAUCUUUUGAGAAUGCAGAUCCUAUCUGUGAACCAUUCGUGUCUAAUGACUUUGCGGAAGAUGGAUCAUAUCCAAUGUCUACGGAACUUUCUGGUGAUGAAGGAGCCUUUGACAAAGCUCUUUUCAAGUUCUAUGUUAAUCAAAAAGUAAUCACCGAAGAGGAAGUUAUCAUCUGCUGGUAGAAGAAAUGUGGUUAGUCCUUGUCCUCUUGCCAUGAUGCUCUCGUUCAGUAUUAGCUUGUUCAUCUUAUUAUUUACUUUUUUGAGUGCACUUCUUUGAUAUCUGUUUCCUUUUUAUUUGUGGUAGAGGCAGAGGCGGUCUACUGAUUUCCCUACUUGUCCCUCCUUUUUCACUCAUGACCAUCACCACUUUACAAUCUGUCUUUGCAAUGACUGUUGUCUUUCUCAUAGGGACUAUGCAAUCUUUGUCCGCUUCCUUCCUCUUGCUCCACUUAUUGCACUUCAUAGUUAUUCUUGUCACCUCAUUGUUCCUUUUUUGCUUGUUGUUCUUGAUGCUGCUACUGUAGCCACUGAGAAUCCAACAACUUUGGAGUAGAAAUUGAUAUAUUCCUGGCCUUCUUCCUUUGUUUUGAACUGCAUGCCUAUGUGUGGCUUGAAGUUGCUGCUAGUGUUCAUUAGAUUGCCCUCUGAUGCAGCCUCUUGCUCAUUUUGCAGGAAUCUCUCAAUGUCUUAUUCGUCGAGGUAUUCAUUGUCAUCUUGUUCAUAUUCAUGGUGCCAAAAAGGUCUGCAUGCCAGGGGUUUUGUUCUGUUGCACCUUCUUCGGUUGAUGUAGUUUCAGUUUCCAUUUCGUCGAAUGUCUGCAGAAUAGUACUAAAGCUGUUCGUUUUUGGCAGAUAUUUCCUUGUAAGAGAGGUGAAGCUGGUGAAGAAAUGAAAUACAAGGGGGUAGCAGUAGAUUUGUUUCUGACCCAUUGAUCGUCCUGGGAUUUCCAAAAUUGUGUGGAUGUUGUACGUCCUUGUUGCUCUUCAGGUACAGCUUCUUCUCCAGGUUCACACCCCUCUCCCAUGGCUGCCUUCCUGGCAUGACUUUGAUCUGCAAUUUAUUCUUCUCCCUUCCCUUCUUCCAUGGCCGCCAGCCCUAAUUUUGUUUCUGUGUGCUGUGUGUUUGGUGAGAUUUAUGAUGUUAUGUAGGAGGGGUGGAGAGGGGUUUCCCUUCCUUUUCCAUGCGUAACAAGUUGAUGGCAAGCAGGGAAGUUGUGGCCAGUUGUUAGUUGUAGUCCACCGAGGGUUUGGUGGGGCUAGAUUGCUGGAAAGCGGGUCAGGGUUUUACCCGACCCGUUUUUGCUGAAAUACAGAAAAUAAAGUGGCUGGUGGGAGGGUUUUUUGGGACAUACAUGUGUCAUCUGUUUAUUUGCUACGAAAUUUGAAUGUUGUCAAAUUGAAAAAUAGUCGAAUGUCAAAUAGACAGUCCCUAUUCUAAUGGUAUUUUUUCUAGAAAAAGGGAAAUAUUUCUGACCACUACAUAAUUACGAUGCACACAACCAUACAUUAUUAAUGCUCGAGUGACUAGCUCCAGCAUCAGAGUAUACAAAAAGAACAUCGUAUAAAAGUAGCCACAAUCGGCGAAAAUUAGAAAAUAUGCCUACAAAUAGCCUACUAUUGACCGCCAUCCAAACUUAUAUGUAUCUCGUGCUAUCAUCCCCCAUUAGUUGCAUCCAGAUUUCGCCAUUCUAACCAGGGGUAAGUUGUAAUAUGUGUUACUUGUUGCAAUGCACAUCUCAAACUUUGACUACGAAAAAUUCAUAGGAAUAAAAUUGGUACACAUUAUUAUUUUUAGUUGGAAUUGAUACAGAAUGUUGUUAUUUUUCUUUAACAAAAGUGCUCGCGGAAAAAUAUACAAGCAAAAAAAGUGUUCCUGUGAAAGUUUAGCUAUUUGAUAAUGACACAUUACUCCUGACUCUUUAGAUGUUGGAUCAUACAUGAGUGGUAGGGGGUUAUGGAUCUUGCGCCAUAUGUAUAGGUGUUUCCUUUGGGUAUAAACCAUAUCUUGGCUUUUCUCUCGUAUUGCUUGUGUUCUUGUUGCGGCAGUGGUGAUCAGGAUAAACACUACUGAAACUGGCCUGAAGGUCGAAGGCGGAUGGUUGAAGAAGGGGAUGGUGGUGCAAUUUCUUCCACAACUUCCUUUAGGGUUUCUCUUGUCGAUAUGACUUGCUCCGCUGCUGGAAUUUCGGGCCGGAGGUCACCCAUUCGGAGCUCGGGCAUCAGGCAUUAAUUACUUCUUUCUUAGAGUCAGGUGUGAGUUGAAUUUGUUUUAUUUCUAAUGAGGCUUUGGGUCAUUCGAGGACAUUCCCCUCUUAUCCUCAUGGCUUGCAAAAGCAUGUUGUGAAAUAAACAAAAUUGAAAGAUACUGGAUAUGCUGAAAUUUAGGACUUGAAUACAUUGUUAUAACAUCAAUCAAUCAAUCAA